GAGUAUUAUGGUUCUUUUAGAAUUUGUCUAGCAGGUUUUCUGGUCUUUACCAGAAAAGUUCCCCC
ensembl:snRNA U7 U7 small nuclear RNA